rnacentral:tRNA from 1 species
GUUAUUUUAGUUUAUAUUAAAACAAUACAUUUUCAAUGUUUAAAAGACUUUUAUUCUUAUAAUU